AACGCACCUUGCACCCUUUGGUAUUCCAAAGGGUACACCCGUUUGAGUGUCAUUGUAAUCUCACUCCACCAGCUAUUUGUUGAUGGAUGUGGACCUGGACUCUGUUGUGUUACUACAACUGGUCUGAAAUGCAUGAGUGCACCCUGCUGUUGCAGCGUUUUCAGUGUGAUAAGCAUCUUCACUGAACCAAGCUCCCUUGGGACACGUGGCAUUGUGGGCUCUGUGCUGGCAAACUGUCUUUGGACAACUUUGACAAUUUGACCUCAGAUCGGGUGGGACUACCCGCUGAACUUAA
rnacentral:misc_RNA from 1 species